CUAAUGUUCAGGUUUAAUUGAUUUGAGAGAAGAUUUUGAAUCUUGAGUUGUCUCAAGCUGAAAACAUGAAUUUUCAAAACUCAAAUGCGAAGAUAGAAUGAUUAGAAUUGGACUUCUUGGUCAUAUCAUUUCAUUAAGAUGCAGCAGGGAGGCGUGGAUAUAUUUCCUAUUUAGUAAUGCUUAAUUAUAUUGAAAGUGAAUUUACCGUGAAUCACCCAUUUGAACUUAGGUUGGCUAAUCAAAACUUUGGAUAUAGUUUGGUAUACAAUUCUAAAUCAAUGAGUAUAGCAGUAAAUUGUGUAAUCAGUCUGCUUUUGAUAGCUGAUACAUUGAAAGGAGGUGAGGAAGGCUUAAUUAUACCAGAAGCUGAACAAAAUAAAGAAAUUUAUGAUGAAGAAGAUUGUACACUAAAGCAUUGUCGUGUUUGGAAAUUGGUUGAAGAUUAUAGGUCUGAUAAUUGCGAAGUAGAUGAGGGGACAGACGACAUGGAUUAUGAGAUCUCGAAGGUUAAAAGGAGUAAACCAAAGUGUAAUCUGGCAAAAAAGAAGAAAAGCAACAAAAUGGCUAUGAAAACUAUCAUUGUGGGCAAAACUAAGCAUUUUGAGCCUAAUGAUUGCAUAAAUGUGGUUGUUCGUACGACUGAGCCAUCUCCUUCAUUUCAACUGAUUUUUCUUGCUCCCAAACCUCAACCAGCACUGAUUGUGAUGAUAAAUGUGAGGAAAUCUCAACCAACAAAUAAUGGUAAUGAUUAGCAUCCUCCUUCCUUCAGAUUUUUAGAUAAGUGAAUAAACGACACUAUGAUUUCUUCGUUUACCAUCAUUUUACUCUAUCUUCUCAAGGAGAGUUGAAAGUGAUUAUGUUGUAAUCACCAGAGAGGUGAAUUGUAUUUGUGGACGAUGCCAGAGCUGUGAAGUGGAGCCCGAAGAUCGAAGAGGCUUGGUGAUCUUCGGCAGCCUACUCUUGAAUUGAAUGACCAAGGUGAGAAUUUUCUUCCACCUAAGCAAAACAAAACGAGGCGAAGACUGUAGGAAGGUGGCUAAAGGACAGACGAGAAAAGAAGAAAGAGGAAUUGCGAGUGCACAAUGCGCAGCUCCAUGCAGCUGUUUCUGUUUCUGCAGUGGCUGCACAGUGGCAGCAACAGCUGCUGCGACUGCUACUACAUCCAAAUCAUCUGGAAAGGACGAAUAGGCAGUGCACGAUUUGGCAAUGGCUUCAGCAGCCACUUUGGUAGCUGCACAGUGUGUGGAAGCCACUGAGGCAAUGGGAGCUGAGAGAAAACACUUGGCUUUGGUUAUCAGCUCCGCAGUCAAUGUUUAGUCUCAUAGUGAUAUGACUGUCACCGCUGCUGCUGCAAGUGCAACAGGUUUUACUAUUAUUCUUCUCCCAUCAAAGAAAACCAUAAAAGUGUGUUCUAUUGAUUGAAAAGCAGCUUAGAAAAUUUAUAGUCAUGGGAUACUGGACGAUCAUAUACUCGUUUUCAAGUUCUGGAUUUAGAACUCCUUACAAUCUUAAUACCCCAAAACUUACAAAGAUUUUAAGAGUUUUUCCGAUU